ACUGUCUAAACAGCUAGCCGACCACUUAAAAUCAACAACCAACAUUAAUACCCCCUUAACCACGCACACCAAGCAACAAACCAUUUUUCCUCCUUAGUAUGGG
rnacentral:rRNA from 1 species